UCAGCAAUUAAUAUCUUAUGUUUUGUCUUACUGUAUGCAUUUGACAUUUGACCUACAUUGUUCAAUGGUUGUCUCUGUCUGAUAGACUCUCAACUCUAGCUCCCAAACCCAAGGUCAGGGAGUUGUGUCUCUGUCUGUUGAGACUUGGUGCUCCUUUCUCACAGAUAGUUGGACGUCAGCAAUGCAGGUGUGAGAAAGUAAAAAUCUUCACACACACUGCGACAGGGAGGAGAUGGUGCAUGUAAUUUUAAUUGGGUUAGAAAGACAGUCCACCCUAGUCGGACAGAGAAGCUAAAAGGCAGAAACAACUUGAGGAUCGUGGGCUCUUUGCAUCACACCUUCGUGGUGUGUGCACUGAUCACCCCAGCUGGUUUUUGGUUUGUUGAUGUGCACGAUCAACAUCCAUGCUUUUUAUUUGCUUUCCCCAUUAUUUUUAUUUUCUUUAUUAUUUCAAUAAAUCACACAAAAGGACAA